rnacentral:rRNA from 1 species
GACGAACGCUGGCGGCGUGCUUAACACAUGCAAGUCGAACGGAAAGGCCCUGCUUUUGUGGGGUGCUCGAGUGGCGAACGGGUGAGUAACACGUGAGUAACCUGCCCUUGACUUUGGGAUAACUUCAGGAAACUGGGGCUAAUACCGGAUAUGAGCUCCUGCUGCAUGGUGGGGGUUGGAAAGAUUCGGCGGUUGGGGAUGGACUCGCGGCUUAUCAGCUUGUUGGUGGGGUAGUGGCUUACCAAGGCUUUGACGGGUAGCCGGCCUGAGAGGGUGACCGGCCACAUUGGGACUGAGAUACGGCCCAGACUCCUACGGGAGGCAGCAGUGGGGAAUAUUGCACAAUGGGCGGAAGCCUGAUGCAGCAACGCCGCGUGCGGGAUGACGGCCUUCGAGUUGUAAACCGCUUUCGCCGGUGACGAAGCGUGAGUGACGGUAAUGGGUAAAGAAGCACCGGCUAACUACGUG